rnacentral:lncRNA from 1 species
GAGAGACCUAAGAGAGGCUAGUGUGAGUGAGUUUUGCGACCAGUGGUCACAAUGGAUGGCGCAUCAGCCACAGCUGAUGCAGACUGACUGUCUAAGGGGGAGGUGUGGUUGCCACCUGCCAAUCAUCCAGCAGGUUGGACCCAGCCCAUCACCUUCUGCUCACCCAACAAGCCCCACGGAGCCCACAGCUUGGUACGCACUCCUGCCUAAGCAACAAGGAGGAUAGGGACUGGCCUCACCCAUAGUCAGCGUCUACGUGGGCCCAAGAAACCGGUCAAGGACCAGCCAAGCCUUCACUUGCUGGGGACCUAGCAGGGUGCUGCUCUCCACCCCCGGGGCAGCAGAGAGGGCACUCGGAGGUGCUAUGGCCCAACAGGACCUGGGGAAGAGUGGAUUGGGGCAGGAAGAUGAGGAGAAGGGAAAAACCCUUCACAAGAGGGACCGCUUCCCCUUCCGGAGAGUGAAGACGCUGGACAGACGCCCGUGAUGUAAGGAGCGCUGCUGUCCUCAGAGGCUGGUCCAAGCACAGAGGAUGGCUGCCUUCCUCACCCUCCUGGUGGCCAGCCUGUCCCGUGACCUCACUAAGAACGCCGGGCCUCAUCCCCAGAGCCCAACGGCCGGGACACAGAGGGAGAUGCCAGCCCCCAGCCAUCCUGCUCCACAGCUCAGCUCCUGCCUGCAUUCAACCUGCUGCCUGCUCCUGCCUGUCUCCGGGCAGCUCUGACCUCCUGCCUGGCUCCUCCCUGAGGACUGCGGCCUGGAGCUCUGCCGGUGUACGUUCCUGAGCUGGAUUUGGGUGAAGAGAGUUGGAGGGCACAGCAGGACACUCACAGGGCUCCUUGAAAUUGCCUUCGCCUGCUGCCCCCUGAGCCCAGCUCCCUGCCCGCUUAGGGUCCCUGCGCGGCAGUGCACACAGAUGCAUCCCCAAAAGAGUCACACCCAGGUGCGGCAGUACCAACCCAAGACCUUGCCCCAGAAGGACUGACUCGCCCUAUGACCCAGGGGUAAAUUUCCUUCCCUCUUGGAGCCUCAGUUUCCCCCAAAUGAAAAGUGUGAACUGUGUCGGUGGUUCUCACCUUUUGGUUGCACAUUUGAAUGUCCUGAAGAGCCCUUAAAAUCUCCAGCGCCUGACUCAACACUGCCAGAUCACAUAGGGUCAGCGUUGCUGCUCCUCAAAGUGGAUCCAUGGGAGCAGCAGCAAGGACAAGGGCGCUUGUUAGAAAUGCA